rnacentral:rRNA from 1 species
ACGGGGUGCAGCAGGCGCGAAACCUUCACACUGUGCGAAAGCGCGAUGAGGGAAUCCCAAGUGCUUGCUCGUAAGAGUAAGCUGUUUCUAUGUCUAAAAAGCAGAGAGAGUAAGAGCUGGGUAAGACGGGUGCCAGCCGCCGCGGUAAUACCUGCAGCUCAAGUGGUGACCACUAUUAUUGGGCCUAAAACGUCCGUAGCCGGUUUAGUAAAUGCCUGGGUAAAUCGAGCCGCUUAACGGUUCGAAUUCCGGGUAGACUGCUAAACUUGGGACCGGGAGAGGCUAGGGGUACUCCUGGGGUAGAGGUGAAAUUCUGUAAUCCUGGGGGGACCACCAGUGGCGAAGGCGUCUAGCUAGAACGGGUCUGACGGUGAGGGACGAAGCCCUGGGGCGCAAACCGGAUUAGAUACCCGGGUAGUCCAGGGUGUAAACGCUGCUUGCUUGAUGUUAGUUGGGCUCUGAGCCCGAUUAGUGUCGGAGAGAAGUUGUUAAGCAAGCUGCCUGGGAAGUACGGUCGCAAGGCUGAAACUUAAAGGAAUUGGCGGGGGAGCACAGCAACGGGUGGAGCGUGCGGUUUAAUUGGAUUCAACGCCGGAAAACUCACCGGAGGCGACGGUUACAUGAAGGCCAGGCUGAUGACCUUGCCUGAUUUUCCGAGAAGUGGUGCAUGGCCGCCGUCAGUUCGUACCGUAAGGCGU